rnacentral:tRNA from 1 species
AAAAAAUUAGUUAAACUAUAACAUUAGCAUGUCAAGCUAAAAUUAUUAAUAUUUUUAAUAUUUUUUA